rnacentral:lncRNA from 1 species
CGGCUGGCUGCAGCCCCGGGAUGGCUCCUGCGAGGAGGGUAGAGAACAGCACACUCAAGCCGUGGAGCAGCUCUCCACACCCAACCAGGAACUGCAAGCCUGGCCGAGAUUCUCAGAUGCCUAUCGCCAAGCAGCGAGCCCGUGAUUGGCGCCGCGCUGCUGCGCGAGGCGGGGCUUCCUUCCUUGCCCAAGAGACCGGAAGUGGGCUCAUUUUCCACCGGAAGGAGAGAGAAGUUACAUGCAGAAGCCAGACACCUGAUGCUGGCAGCGCUUGUCGCGUGAAGUUGGGCCAGUAUCUGGCCAUCUAUUGCGGCGGGCGACAGUGGUGUCCCAGGAGGCUGGCUGGAGUGGCAGGCGUCAGAGGAAUGGGAGUAGAAGAGAUGGGUAUGUGAGUCCCUGAAAGCAGAGAGCAGUUCUUUGCAUGCUGUGAGCAUUCACGGAUGAUGCAGCCACACCAUGCCUCUGACAUGCAUAAUUCAAGUGGAGCAGAUACAGGCCUGUGGUUCCAGUACCACCGCUUGAGGAUUCUGUAAACGGUGAGUGUGUGGCAUGUAGCUCAGCUUGAGACAGGUAGGAAUUAGGCAGUGCUUCCCAGGGUUGAUUCUGAGCCAUACGGGGCAUUAGGAGGACAGAGAGGAGGAGGUCCACUCUAGGUGUCUAGGAAUCAGUUGAUGGUUUAUAAAGUAUAAAUGGUAAAAGGACAGUGUUGAGUAUCCUACACUUUUUCCAGAGUGCUGUCUGUACUUUUGGAUAUUGCUUCUUGUUUCUUCCUUCCCUCUUGCUGCUUCUCUUCCCUUUAGAUUAAUGUUUAGGGCGUGGAAGGAAAUAGAGUAGGUGGCAAAAUGACAGCAGGCAUAUGGAAGAGUAAUGUCCACAUCUAGUCAGUCCAUUUCUAAGAUGUCCAUUCCAUGUUCUUGUUUUGUUAAAGUGGACAACUAGGAACUGGGGUUUUGUUGGCUGGGUGCUUUUUCCAGUGAGUAUAUUACAUCCCUGUCUCUAAACCAGUCUGUUUAAAUCUCUUAAAUUUCCUUCAAGGAAAAGAUCCAUAUUUAGGCUCAGGAAGGGGUGGGGGGGAAGAGCAGAUUUGGGUCCUAGUCCAUACUAUGGAAGUAUUGUGACUUAGUAACUGCAUGUUGUUUGAAUCAGCUGUAACCUGUUUAAUUCUAAAAAUUUAAAUGAAUGAUGGUUUAAUUCUACCAUAUUUGAGUAAGAGAAAAUAGAUUCUGUCAGUCUAAGACUAGGAAGAAAAGUUAGUCCAACUAUGGGUUGAGCUUCAUUUAUUUCCAGGAUUGGUGUCAGCAGAGAACAAACAGUGACGUGAUGAGACACAAUGAACUUGACAAGAACCAUGCAGCAAUGGCUAUUUUUGAGUGGCAUUGGUGCCAAGUCAUAGGUACCCUCCUUACUAAUAACAGAUGCUGUCUGGCAAACUGGUGCCUUGCAUUUAUCUCUGCUAACCACUGGCAUUAAGAGAAGCAUAUCUGCAAUGUUCAGAUUAUGAAAGCCUGAGUUAUGAAUGAUCUUUUCUUUACUAUCUAGGAAUUUUAAGAACAGUGGUUUAAGAAUAGGUUUGUAGUCCAGACUAGCUUUAGACUUGUGGCAGUCCUACUGCUUCAGCCUCCUUAGUGCUGAGAUUACUGGGGUGAGCCACCAUGACUAACUUUUAGUUUAGUUUCUUCAGAUAGGGUCUCAUGUAGCCCAGGCUGGCUUCAAACUUGCUAUGUAGCUGAGGGUGACCUGAACUCCUGGUUCUCCUGCCUCUACUGUCCAAGUUCUGGGAUUACGGGCAUGCCCAGCUAGAGAAUCAUAACGCUUUAAGUGGUGGAUUUAGUCAUGUUCUUCUGGAGACUAAGAAAACAGAGUCCUUGAAGUCAAGGACUCUGCCUUUAGCCUCCUAAAUGAAAAGGUAGAUAGAACAGGUCUUGUUUGCAAAAUAAAUCCAAGACCUACUUAUCUACCA